rnacentral:rRNA from 1 species
AUUGAACGCUGGCGGCAGGCCUAACACAUGCAAGUCGAGCGGUAACACAGAGGAGCUUGCUCCUUGGGUGACGAGCGGCGGACGGGUGAGUAAUGCCUGGGGAUCUGCCCGAUAGAGGGGGAUAACUACGGGAAACUGUAGCUAAUACCGCAUAAUGUCUACGGACCAAAGUGGGGGCUCUUCGGACCUCAUGCUAUCGGAUGAACCCAGGUGGGAUUAGCUAGUUGGUGAGGUAAUGGCUCACCAAGGCGACGAUCUCUAACUGGUUUGAGAGAAUGACCAGUCACACUGGAACUGAGACACGGUCCAGACUCCUACGGGAGGCAGCAGUGGGGAAUAUUGCACGAUGGGCGCAAGCCUGAUGCAGCCAUGCCGCGUGUGUGAAGAAGGCCUUCGGGUUGUAAAGCACUUUCAGCGGGGAGGAAGGGUUACUAGUUAAUACCUAGUGACAUUGACGUUACUCGCAGAAGAAGCACCGGCUAACUCCGUGCCAGCAGCCGCGGUAAUACGGAGGGUGCAAGCGUUAAUCGGAAUUACUGGGCGUAAAGCGCACGCAGGCGGUUUGUUAAGUCANAUGUGAAAUCCCCGAGCUCAACUUGGGAACUGCAUUUGAAACUGGCAAGCUAGAGUCUUGNA